rnacentral:lncRNA from 1 species
GCCAAUGCUACACUUCCUUAGCUAGGAGCUAGCAAUGCUACGUGGAAUUGCAUGUCGAAAAAAUGAACCCAUUUUGGCAAUUCUACAUGCCUUCAUAGGCACUUACAACAGAGAUGUGUGAAAGGGAAUGAACAGGUAUUAAUACUCAUGCAUGGAUAUUGGGAGGAAACCAGGGCAUAGGUCACUCUACCACAGUGAGCCUGGAAGAAAAUAUUUAAAAAGUCAACCUGCCAUCUCUCCUGCCCUGCUCGUCCAAGUUCCCACUCUAGUUCCAGUACUGGCAGGCUUCACCACUAUAUCCCAGCAGGGUCCUGCUUGGCAUGUUCUCCCAGGUAUCUUCUGAGAGGUUGUUCUCUCUCCACUUCUCAUUCAAGUCUGAAGAUGCUUACAGUCACCUGCAGUACUUCUAAAUCAGAGUUUUGAGAUGGAAGAGGUCACAGCUCCAAUGAUCUCAGCCGAAGAAGAUGAGGAAGAAGACCAGCACAAGUGAGUCUCUCUCAAAUCAGCUUUUGCUGGUAUCAGGAUUUCUCUGGAGGACUCAACAAAGUCCUCUCCAUGCCUGAGAUUCCUACAAUGAUUGAAAUUCCAUUGUUUCUUCCCCGUGGCAUCCAGCCCACUGUACGCUGUGGCAUUUGGACAGCUCCUGCUUCUGUUCCUACCUCCAGGUUCUUGCCUCGAGUUCCUGCUCUGCCUUCAUUUCACUAUACCUAGAAGCUGAAAUAAACUAUUUCCUCCA